UACAGAGGGUGCAAGCGUUAAUCGGAAUUACUGGGCGUAAAGGGCGCGUAGGUGGUUGCGUAAGUGAGAUGUGAAAUCCCCGGGCUUAACCUGGGAACUGCAUCUUAUACUGCGUAGCUGGAGUACAUGAGAGGGUAGUGGAAUUUCCGGUGUAGCGGUGAAAUGCGUAGAUAUCGGAAGGAACACCAGUGGCGAAGGCGGCUACCUGGCAUCAUAGCUGACGCUGAGGCGCGAGAGCGUGGGGAGCGAACAGGG
rnacentral:rRNA from 1 species